GCGUGAGAAUCUGCCUUAGGGUCGGGGACAACCACUGGAAACGGUGGCUAAUACCGGAUAAGCCGAGAGGUAAAAGAGAAAUUGCCCAAAGAGGAGCUCGCGUCUGAUUAGCUAGUUGGUGGGGUAAAAGCCUACCAAGGCAGCGAUCAGUAGCUGGUCUAAGAGGAUGAGCAGCCACACUGGGACUGAGACACGGCCCAGACUCCUACGGGAGGCAGCAGUGGGGAAUUUUCCGCAAUGGGCGAAAGCCUGACGGAGCAAUACCGCGUGAGGGAGGAAGGCUCUUGGGUCGUAAACCUCUUUUGUCAGGGAAGAAGCAAGUGACGGUACCUGACGAAUCAGCAUCGGCUAACUCCGUGCCAGCAGCCGCGGUAAUACGGAGGAUGCAAGCGUUAUCCGGAAUUAUUGGGCGUAAAGCGUCCGCAGGUGGCUCAUCAAGUCUGCUGUCAAAAACCGGGGCUCAACCCCGGAGGGGCAGUGGAAACUGAGGAGCUAGAGUGCAGGAGGGGUAGAGGGAAUUCCCGGUGUAGCGGUGAAAUGCGUAGAGCUCGGGAAGAACAUCGGUGGCGAAAGCGCUCUACUGGACUGCAACUGACACUCAGGGACGAAAGCUAGGGGAGCGAAUGGGAUU
rnacentral:rRNA from 1 species